GAUGAACGCUGGCGGCGUGCCUAAUACAUGCAAGUCGAGCGAACAGACGAGGCGCUUGCUCCUCUGACGUUAGCGGCGGACGGGUGAGUAACACGUGGAUAACCUACCUAUAAGACUGGGAUAACUUCGGGAAACCGGAGCUAAUACCGGAUAAUAUAUUGAACCGCAUGGUUCAAUAGUGAAAGACGGUUUUGCUGUCACUUAUAGAUGGAUCCGCGCCGCAUUAGGUAGUUGGUAAGGUAACGGCUUACCAAGGCGACGAUGCGUAGCCGACCUGAGAGGGUGAUCGGCCACACUGGAACUGAGACACGGUCCAGACUCCUGAGGGAGGCAGCAGUAGGGAAUCUUCCGCAAUGGGCGAAAGCCUGAUGGAGCAACGCCGCGUGAGUGAUGAAGGUCUUCGGAUCGUAAAACUCUGUUAUUAGGGAAGAACAAAUGUGUAAGUAACUAUGCACGUCUUGACGGUACCUAAUCAGAAAGCCACGGCUAACUACGUG
rnacentral:rRNA from 1 species